CCUCCUCCUCGUGCUGGGGAUCAGGUGUGCAGUCUCAAUCCCCGUAAUGUGUGGAGGCAGGGAAAGGGCUUCGUCACCCUUGGCGUCAUGUCUUCGGUGUUGGCUGCUUCCAAUCCGCUAGUGCUAUCCUCGUGUGCCAGGACACGA
ensembl:snoRNA